AGCGCACUCGUCGGUGGCAAGGUACAGACUGGACUCUGACUCUCAAGGAAAGAGGCUUCGAGUAGGAUAGCUUUUGCUGGUGUACGUGAAGUUGGUAGUAUUCGGGAACUGUUUGGCUCAUGGAACGCGCAAGCACAGUGAUGAAAACGUCGGUUUGACAGCGAGCACUGAUUUCUUGAGGGCAGCUCUACACCCCCGCCAAGACGCAGUGGAACGCGAGCCCGAACGCGGACGUCCAUCUUGAUGUUUGGGACUCUACCCAGUGCCAUCAGCACAGGGCUUUUCGGCAAGUCUGCUGCGACUGCUUUCUUUUCUUCUCUCCUAGUUCUCGCUUUAUAUUAGCCCGUACUUCCAUGUCGCUCCAGCUCCGUAGGCAGGCAUCAAGGGAUGUCGAUGGCCGCGUUCGAAUCCGGAUUUUGCCGCCUCCAGCUGCAGUUCAUGCUUUUCAUGCCCAGACGGAGGUUGUGACAUAUAUUUUCGCAUGCCAAUUCCAUCUUCCUUGGACACAGCAUUGAUGCGUCUUUCGUGGCGGUGACAGUUGAAUGCGUGAAGCGGUGUGCAUGUACAAGUCCACGACGCCUCCUCUGCAUCCUCCUCAGGGCGCUGUCCUGUGGUGCUUGACGGCUCGCUUGGUCGUUCAGCACAUGCCCUUGACCGGCACAGAAGGUUUCGUUCGACGUACGCCUCCGUUCCCGUGUCGGGUGCGGUGCCCUGCGAUCACGAGAUUCGCCCUGGCGAAUCGCGCAGCGAGUCCUCUGUCUGCUGGAUUUGCGAGCGCACGAUGCUCCAUUCGAUAGGGGAAUCGUGGAGCGCGAUUGUACCCAUCAUGGUACAAAUACUGGAAGGAAAAACCACGAUGGUGAUCAAGUCGAGAAAUUUCAAUUCAUCUACGCUCAUUUCGUGCAAGGCAGCGACGCAGAUAAUACAAGAAGCGAUCGUUGCGAAGAAGGAGGUCCGAGUCCAGUACGCUUUCGCAUGGGGACAAACGAGGCUGGAGCUUACGGAAAUAGAUUCCUCGAGCGUUAUCAUGGUGCAGUCAAGUCACGUCUCGUCGAUUGUCGCCAGGGCAGGAGGAUCUGAAUUUCGUAUCGAAUCGAUGAGUUUGGCUUGAGAAUUGCAUUGAACCUUCGGCAUGUGCUCAUGAACAAGUCCUCAAACGCUGACAUCGAGCGCCUUUUCUCUUCAAUCCAGCGGCGCAAAUUGAUGCACGACGACUUUGCUUCAAAGAGAAAGAUCAAUACUUGAAGAAAGCUAGCGUCGAAGAUGCCGCGUGCAAAGAACGGCGAUACAUGGAGUCACACACGUGUGGAUUCUAUGAUGAUAUUCGUUAUUUUACGAGCCCUUGUUCGAAGUUGCUGCGAACCACCUUGAUUCCCACGAAAUGACGAAUUUCAGCGGGAAAGCGCGGAUGGAGCAAAUCGGGAACAACCUGCAGCUGUCCUACAACUGCGUAUGAAUCCCGAAGCCUCCAUUGCUGCUCUUUGAAUAUCCAUACUUUCGGUUUGAAACACAAAUUCUGUAAAGGUUCGAAACCUGGGAA